UACGUAGGGUGCAAGCGUUGUCCGGAAUUAUUGGGCGUAAAGAGCUCGUAGGCGGUCUGUCGCGUCGGCUGUGAAAACUCGGGGCUCAACCCCGAGCCUGCAGUCGAUACGGGCAGACUAGAGUUCGGUAGGGGAGACUGGAAUUCCUGGUGUAGCGGUGAAAUGCGUAGAUAUCAGGAGGAACACCGGUGGCGAAGGCGGUUCUCUGGGCAUUACCUGACGCUGAGGAGCGAAAGUGUGGGGAGCGAACAGG
rnacentral:rRNA from 1 species